rnacentral:lncRNA from 1 species
UGUGUAUAGACAGUAGUUAUAUAGGAUGGUGUGUAUAGACAGUAGUUAUAUAGGAUGGUGUAUAUAGACAGUAUAGACAGUAGUUAUAUAGGAUGGUGUAUAUAGACAGUAUAGACAGUAGUUAUAUAGGAUGGUGUAUAUAGACAGUAUAGACAGUAGUUAUAUAGGAUGGUGUAUAUAGACAGUAUAGACAGUAGUUAUAUAGGAUGGUGUAUAUAGACAGUAUAGACAGUAGUUAUAUAGGAUGAACCAUGACUAGAAUACAGUAUAUACAUACAGUGUAAAACAGUAUGAAAACAUGAAUAAAGUGACAAGUGUUCAACGGAUCUAUGUACACAGGGCAGCAGUUACUGGGUGGAGGCUAGUAACAGUAACUGAGGUUCAGGGCAGGGUACUGGGUGGAGGUUGGCUAGUAACAGUAUCUAAGGUUCAGGGCAGGGUACUGGGUGGAGGUUGGCUAGUAACAGUAACUAAGGUUCAGGGCAGGGUACUGGGUGGAGGCUAGUAACAGUAACUAAGGUUCAGGGCAGGGUACUGGGUGGAGGUUGGCUAGUAACAGUAUCUAAGGUUCAGGGCAGGGUACUGGGCAGGGUACUGGGUGGAGGCUAGUAACAGUAUCUAAGGUUCAGGGCAGGGUACUGGGUGGAGGCUAGUAACAGUAACUAAGGUUCAGGGCAGGGUACUCGGUGGAGGCUAGUAACAGUCACUAAGGUUCAGGGCAGGGUACUGGGUGGAGGCUAGUAACAGUAACUAAGGUUCAGGGCAGGGUACUGGGUGGAGGCUAGUAACAGUAACUAAGGUUCAGGGCAGGGUACUGGGUGGAGGCUAACUAGUAAC